rnacentral:rRNA from 1 species
AUUGAACGCUGGCGGCAGGCCUAACACAUGCAAGUCGAGCGGAGCGGCGGACGGGUGAGUACUGCCUAGGAAUCUGCCUGGUGGUAGGGGAUAACGUCCGGAAACGGGCGCUAAUACCGCAUACGUUCAAAUGAGCCUAGGUCGGAUUAGCUAGUUGGUGGGGUAAAGGCCUACCUAGGCGACGAUGCGUAACUGGUCUGAGAGGAUGAUCAGUCACACUGGAACUGAGACACGGUCCAGACUCCUACGGGAGGCAGCAGUGGGGAAUAUGGGACAAUGGGCGAAAGCCUGAUCCAGCAAUGCCGCGUGAGUGAAGAAGGUCUUCGGAUUGUAAAGCACUUUAAGUUGGGAGGCGUUACCAACAGAAUAAGCAACGGCUAACUACGUGCCAGCAGCCGCGGUAAUUC